AAGUCGUAACAAGGUUUCCGUAGGUGAACCUGCGGAAGGAUCAUUAGUGAAUAUUAGGGUGCCUCACUGCUUCUUGUAGUUGAGGGCCUGACCUCCACUCUCUAACACUUGUGCACUAAAAAAAUUGUGAUUGAAACGGCUCUCUUACGACAGCCUGACUAGAUCACUUUUUUUCCCAAUUACAAUACUCCAAAAGUCAAAGAAUGUUACCAAAACCAUAACAAAAUAAAA
rnacentral:misc_RNA from 1 species